UCCCGUGUGGCUCAGUUGGUAGAGCGUGGUGUUUGCAACGCCAGGGGGUUGUGGGUUCGAUUCCCACGGGGGGGA
rnacentral:tRNA from 1 species